rnacentral:rRNA from 1 species
GACGUAGGGCGCGAGCGUUGUCCGGAUUUAUUGGGCGUAAAGAGCUCGUAGGCGGCUUGUCGCGUCGACUGUGAAAUCCCGAGGCUCAACUUCGGGCUUGCAGUCGAUACGGGCAGGCUAGAGUUCGGUAGGGGAGAAUGGAAUUCCUGGUGUAGCGGUGAAAUGCGCAGAUAUCAGGAGGAACACCGAUGGCGAAGGCAGGUCUCUGGGCCGAUACUGACGCUGAGGAGCGAAAGCGUGGGGAGCGAACAGG